AGCAGCCGCGGUAAUUCCAGCUCCAAUAGCGUAUAUUAAAGUUGUUGCAGUUAAAAGCUCGUAGUUGAAUUUUGGAUUCUUCCAAUUGGUCCAUCUUUUAGAUGAGUACUGGUUGUGUGGGGUCUAUCCGCCUGGUGAUACGUAAUGUCCUUUAUUGGAUGUUGCGGGUAGUCAGGACCUUUACCUUGAAAAAAUUAGAGUGUUUAAAGCAGGCUUAUGCCGGAAUACAUUAGCAUGGAAUAAUAGAAUAGGACGAAGUUGUUUUAUUUUGUUGGUUUCUAGGACAACCGUAAUGAUUAAUAGGGAUAGUUGGGGGCAUUAGUAUUCAAUUGUCAGAGGUGAAAUUCUUGGAUUUAUUGAAGACUAACUACUGCGAAAGCAUUUGCCAAGGAUGUUUUCAUUAAUCAAGAACGAAAGUUAGGGGAUCGAAGACGAUCAGAUACCGUCGUAGUCUUAACCAUAAACUAUGCCGACUAGGGAUCGGGCGAUGUUGUUUCCAUGACUCGCUCGGCACCUUAUG
rnacentral:sRNA from 1 species